UACCUGCAGCUCGAGUGGUAGCCGCUAUUAUUGGGCCUAAAGCGUCCGUAGCCGGUUUGGUAAAUUAUCUGGGUAAAUCGUGAGGCUUAACUUCACGAAUUUCGGAUAGACUGCCAGACUUGGGAUCGGGGGAGGUCAGAGGUACUCCAGGGGUAGCGGUGAAAUGUUGUAAUCCUUGGAGGACCACCGGUAGCGAAGGCGUCUGACUAGAACGAGUCCGACGGUGAGGGACGAAGCCCUGGGGCGCAAACCGGAUUAGAUACCCGGGUAGUCCAGGGUGUAAACGAUGUGGGCUUUGUAUUGGAGGUCCACGUGGCGUCCAGUGCAGAAGAGAAGUUGUUAAGCCCACCGCCUGGGAAGUACGGUCGCAAGGCUGAAACUUAAAGGAAUUGGCGGGGGAGCACAGCAACGGGAGGAGCGUGCGGUUU
rnacentral:rRNA from 1 species